rnacentral:rRNA from 1 species
UACAGAGACUGCAAGCGUUAUUCGGAUUCACUGGGCGUAAAGGGUGCGCAGGCGGUUGGGUGUGUCAGAUGUGAAAUCCCGAGGCUUAACCUCGGAACUGCGUCUGAAACUACUCGACUAGAGUACUGGAGAGGGAAACGGAAUUCACGGUGUAGCAGUGAAAUGCGUAGAUAUCGUGAGGAACACCAGAGGCGAAGGCGGUUUCCUGGACAGUUACUGACGCUCAGGCACGAAAGCAUGGGGUGCAAAAGGG